UCAAGAUCGACACUUUUUGAGUAAUUUGACAGUAAUAAAAUAAUUAACAAUGGGAUCAUUACAGUCAUCAAAUCACUGAUUGAUUCUCUCAUGUUGCACACAAAACAUUAUUAUUUUCUUUCUCUUUUCCUAUCAGUUUACAUUCGGUUUUGGUUGUUUUUUGACUAGCGAACUUUAGACUAUUGCAGCACAACAAAAUGAUAAUUUUGAACUUUGUU
ensembl:ncRNA K04A8.15 ncRNA